rnacentral:lncRNA from 1 species
AGCCGUGGGUCCUUGAUCUACAGGGAACAGAGGGGACAGAGGCACCAAGGAUUUGCCAGACAGACUCCACUAUUAGAACUGAUCGCAAGCAAAUCUGUGAGUACUCAAACCUCAUCCAAAGGCAGAUUCCUGGCUUUGGAGACAAUUUGGAUUCUAAGGUCUGGUCAGAGAAUUGCCCAAGAAGCCUUGGGCUAAGAGUGAGUGGCUCACUUUUCCAGAAGCACCAUUUGAAUAGUGAGACCAUGAUGCCCAAGAACUCCACAAAGGAUGCUGUCCAAGAAUGUAAGGAGCUGCAGGCUACUGAUGUGGUUAUCAGCCUGAUGAUCAGAGAUACCACCUGAGCCCAAAACUGAUUCAGCAUCAAAGCAUUCCUACCCAUGUGAAGAGUGUGGCAAAGCUUUCAGGUGGCACUCUCGCCUGAAUCAGCACAAAAUGAGCCACACUGGAGAGAAAUCUUUUAAAUGUGACCAGUGUGGGAAGUGCUUCGUCCUGGCCUCAGUACUCAUUCAGCAUCAGAGAAUCCACACCGGAGAGAGACCAUUUAAAUGUGCUGAGUGCGGGAAAGGUUUCCACCUGAGCGCAAAGCUGGUUCAGCAUCAAAGCAUUCAUACUGGAGAGAAGCCUUAUGGAUGUGAGGAGUGUGGAAAAACCUUUGGUCAGAGCUCAAGCCUCGUCCAUCAUCAGAGAAUCCACACCAGAGAAAGGCCUUUCAUUUGUCAAGAGUGCAGGAAAGCCUUCUGCCAGCGCUCACAGCUCAGCAGACACCAGAGGACGCACACUGGAGAGGCCCUACUCCUGCCAGGAGUGUGGCAAGGCUUUCUGCCAGAGAGCAACUCUAGCCCAGCAUCAGAAGAUGAUGCAUACAGGGGAGAAAUCUCAAAUGCGGAGAGCCUCAGAGAGCCCAAGCCUUAUUGCCUGCCAGGGAAAUACCACUGAAGAGAAGCCAUUUAAGUGUGAGCAGUGUGGCAAAGCUUUCAGGUGGCUCUCUCGCCUGAAUCAGCACCAGGUAGUCCAUUCUGGAGAGAAACCUUAUAAGUGCAAUAAGUGCACAAAAGCCUUUGGCUGUACCUCACGACUGAUUCGCCACCAGAGAACUCAAACCAGAGAAAAGCUGUUUAAAUGUGAUGAAUGUGGGAAGGGCUUCACACCCUUCCCACCGGGUGGGAGGAGAGAACUAACUCCCAAAUGGUGUCCAGAGCUCACACCUUAUUCAGCACCAGCGAAUCCACACGGGAGAGAAGCCUUGCGUGUGUGAUGACUGUGGGAGAGCUUUUACCCAGACCUCCAGCCUCAUUUACCACCAGAGGAUCCAUAAGGGAGAGAAGCCAUAUAAGUGCAUCCAGUGUGGCAAAGCCUUCAGCAUGAUCACACAGCUCACCAGCCAUCAGAGGACUCACACCGGGGAGAGACCCUAUACAUGUAACAAGUGUGGGAAGACCUUCCGUCAAAACUCAACCCUUUUCCAACACCAGAGAAUUCAUGUUAGAGUAAAGCCCUAUGAGUGUAAUGAGUGUGGAAAGGCCUUCAGCCGGAGCUCCUACCUUAUUGAACACCAGAGAAUACACACUAGAGCCCACAGGUGCCAUGAAUUUGGGGACACCUCUGAAAGUUCCACCCUUUUGAACCAUAAAAAAGUGCACACUGUAAAAAAGUUGUACCAGUGUGAUGACUGCAAUAAGGUCUUCAGGUGGCGUUCGCACCUGAGUUUCUCCAGAGGAUUAACACAGGAGAGAGGCCUUACAAAUGUAAUGCCUGUGGCAAGGCUUUUCAUCAGAUCGCAAAGCUCACUUAGCACCAAAAACUUCACAUGAGAUAA